GCUCGCGUGACGUAGUGGUUUGAGUGUUGGACUACAAUGCUGGAGACCAGGGUUCGAUUCCCAGCUUGGCCA